GCUGGGCGCAGUGGCACAUGCCUGUAAUCCCAGUGCCUUGGGAGGCUGAGACAGGAGGAUCAGGAGUUCAAAGCCAGCCUCAGCAAUGGCAAGGCGCUAAGCAACUCAGUGAGACCCUGUCUCUA
rnacentral:sRNA from 1 species